CUGGAUAAACGGGCCUCGAUCCCGUAAACUUUUAAUUAACAGCUAAACACCCCAUCCAGCGGGCUUUUAUCCAA
rnacentral:tRNA from 1 species